UGUGUGGUUGUGUCCAGUUUGUAUCUCUCUGGAAGCUGAGAAGAGAACUGGUCUGUGUGAUUGUGUCCAGUUUGUAUCUCUCUGGAAGCUGAAAAGAGAACUGGUCUGUGUGGUUGUGUCCAGUUUGUAUCUCUCUGGAAGCUGAGAAGAGAACUGGUCUGUGUGGUUGUGUCCAGUUUGUAUCUCUCUGGAAGCUGAGAAGAGAACUGGUCUGUGUGGUUGUGUCCAGUUUGUAUCUCUCUGGAAGCUGAGAAGAGAACAGGUCUGUGUGGUUGUGUCCAGUUUGUAUCUCUCUGGAAGCUGAGAAGAGAACUGGUCUGUGUGGUUGUGUCCUUUGGAAAAACACUUUACAUCAGUUUCUUUGGACAGACUACCCAUGUGAUGUUCAGUGAGGUAGCCACCAGCUGCUACAAGAAAACCAUUACAAAAAGACCUUGGUUGUAGAUAUGUGAUGAGAUGGAAACCCAAUGCCAUAAAUGAAUGUGUAGAAGCCCAUCCCCUGAUUUUGAGUAAGAAGUAUUACAGUAGAUCCUCAGGCUUAUUAUUAAAGGAUAAAUACAGUAUUAUUGAUUUUUGAAAACUAUUGGUUGAAUACUUUCUAGGAUUAUUAGUCACUGGUAGAUAUGUUGUGAUUGCAGAAUAUACUGUACAUUUUUACAUAGUAAUCAUAUUUUAGCACUUUUCACACUCAAUGGAUUGUGCGAAAUAAUGAAUGUGCAAAGCACAGGUUCUAUAUGCAAUUUAUUUAGUGACUAGUGGGCUUAUUUGCCAAACAAUGAUUAUGCGCUAAAAUUUGAUUGUGUAAAAAUAAGUUUGUUUACUGAGGUUUAGAUUUAUAUUUGGAUGUUUCGUGGUUAGCGUUCAAAAUGAAUCGGAUUCAUUUAUUUUCAUGGCAAUGACACCAGAGUGUUUUUUCUGCUUGGUGUUACACCACAUUUUUUAUACUCUUUUAUUGUGUAAUGUAAGAUUACUUUUGCUACAAGUGUUUUAACAAUAGAUAGAUAUUUAUACAUAUAAUAUUGCCUGUACAGCUGUGCUGUAAUAUUGUAACUGACCUUUUGUCAGUACAUGCAGCUCAAGAUUUAGGAUUUCACAUAUAGGGAAAAUGUUUACUCCAUUGCUAUCAUGUAUUUUCUCAGAUGUCUUAAAUGCGGUAAUGUUACACAGUUGACACUUUUGUAUCUACUUUCACUGCGAGGGCCAUUUGUAGUAGAAUUUAUGGGUAAGUGGACUUUGAAAUACACAGGAGGCAUUUAUUAAACUGUCCCAUACACAUAUAUUAUUUAACAUGGGAUUUUUUGUUGCAUAGACAAAACAUGGAAAUACAAUAUGACAAAUUAGACUUCAGUUGAAAGAAACUUUGUCAUUACUAUAGACAAUCAAUGAAACUAAAACUCUAAAGUCUUCAUUGGAAAGAAUUUUGUAUAGCAUUCUGUCCAUUUGUUCCUUGUGUAUAUUGUUUAGAUGUAGAGACAAAGGUCCCACCAGUGAUUCAUUGUAUACAGUACCAGUCACAAGUAUAUUCCACUUUUAUUAGUAUUGCUUCUUUAUUUUAAUCAAUUUACAUUUAUACACUUGGUAUUUUGUUUAAGUCUACCACUAUUUUUACAAUGCAUAUUGUUUAUUGAUCAAAAUUUGUUGUUUUUUUCCUGUUCACUAUCAUUCAUAGACUUGCCAUGAUUUUAACCAUUUCAUUAGACUGCACUGGUAAACACAGACUUCUACAUUGGUGCUAUCACAGUAAAAUUUACACUGCAGUGAUGACUCAAAGUUUGACAAACUGGAAUUAUGGAGAAGUGAGGCAUUUAAACUUUACUAUACUAGAGUGUUCUUCAGAUGCAAUCAAGCAGAAUUACUGUAUUGUUCAUCUGUAGGAUAGCUAUGUUGUAGAUACCAACUGCUUUUAUGUUUGAUAGAUUUGAUCUGAGGAAUUGUUCCUAGGCGCAGAAAUGUAACAGAACUUGUGUAAAUGUUGUCAUGGAGUUUUGUACAAGAAAAAAAAAAUCACUCUAAGAUGUUUUUACUGGUUGCAUUACACAAGAGAUAACUAGGACUGUUACAAAUUUUAACUAUGUUACCUUGAGAGUAACUGCACCACCUACUAUAUAAGUACAGUUAUUCUGGUCAUGGAAUAGUCUGACUUGUUACCAGUGCAGGUUUAACUUAUUCAUUUAACCUGCACAGUAUUAUUUUUGCCCUGUCUGUCACAAACAUUUACUGAUUGCUGAUGCUACGACAUUAGUUGACUACAGGUGACUUCACACAACAUUCACUGAGUGCUGUUGACUCCACACAACAUUCACUGAGUGCUGUUGACUCCACACAACAUUCACUGAGUGCUGUUGACUCCACACAACAUUCACUGAGUGCUGUUGACUCCACACAACAUUCACUGAGUGCUGUUGACUCCACACAACAUUCACUGAGUGCUGUUGACUCCACACAACAUUCACUGAGUGCUGUUGACUCCACACAACAUUCACUGAGUGCUGUUGACUCCACACAACAUUCACUGAGUGCUGUUGACUCCACACAACAUUCACUGAGUGCUGUUGACUCCACACAACAUUCACUGAGUGCUGUUGACUCCACACAACAUUCACUGAGUGCUGUUGACUCCACACAACAUUCACUGAGUGCUGUUGACUCCACACAACAUUCACUGAGUGCUGUUGACUCCACACAACAUUCACUGAGUGCUGUUGACUCCACACAACAUUCACUGAGUGCUGUUGACUCCACACAACAUUCACAGAGUGCUGUUGACUCCACUUGAUCAACAGAUGUAAAAGAAUAACUAUGAAUUGUUGUGUUUUGUCAUGUGUGUUGGAUAUUUCUUGUAUAUCACAAGACUGGAGAAGAGACCGUAAAUGUAAGGGAGACAGGACUAGAUAUAGGCAUCUUAAAAUGUAUGAUUUAUUAUCAUUGCUAUUUUUAUACAUGUAUAACACUUGUGUUCAAAACAUAUACUCAUUUUAUAAUGCAACAAAAAAUUUACAUUACUGUUAUAUUUUUUAUAAUUUUUCAAUAUGAAUUUGAAAAAAAACAAGAAUUGACUUAGUUAUGGUUUUAUACAUGGUUAUAUGAGAAGAUUGUUUAAUCAGAAUUUGAGGAUAAGUGUGUGUUAUCACGUGUUGUUUACAAAGCACUAGACACUUAAUUGAUCUUGUGGUGUGAUGCAAAAACAGGACUGACUAGUGCCCCAAUACCAAAACAGGACUGACUAGUGCCCUAAUACCACAUCAUAACUGGCUGGUGCCCUGAUACCACAACAGGACUGACUAGUGCCCUGAUACCACAACAGAACUGACUAGUGCCCUGAUACCUUAAGAGGACUGACUAGUGCCAUGAUACAACAACGGAACUGACUAGUGCCCUGACACCACAACAGGACUGACUAGUGCCCUGAUACCACAACAGGACUUGACUAAUGCCCUGAUACAACAACAGGACUUGACUAAUGCCCUGAUACAACAACAGGACUGACUAGUGCCCUGAUACAACAACAGGACUUGACUAAUGCCCUAAUACAACAACGGAACUGACUAGUGCCCUGAUACAACAUCAGGACUUGACUAGUGCCCUGAUACAACAACGGAACUGACUAGUGCCCUGAUACAACAACAGAAAUGACUAGUGCCCUGAUACCACAACAGAAAUGACUAGUGCCCUGAUACCGCCACAGGACUGACUGAAACUAUCUUUUCAUUACAGAUACAAUGUCGUAAUGUUAAUCCUUUAAAAUUUUGCAGAUUUCCAAAUGUAGCUUAAACAUUGUAAACUAUAUACAUGUAUUUAAUGUAUCAAAAUCAAAGUGAACAAUUGCUAGAAUGUUAUCGUUUGGAACUAUUAAUAGAAAGUUGUCAUUUAGGACUCUUACUAGAAAGUUGUCAUUUGGAACUCUUGCUUAAUAGCCAACUUGUAGAACUCUUGCUAAUGGCUUACACGCAGAAUACUUGCUAAAUAGCCAACUUGCAGAACCCUUGCUGAAUAGCCAACUUGCAGAACCCUUGCUAAUGGCUUACACGCAGAACACUUGAGAAAAAGCAGACAUGCAGAACCCUUGCUAAAUAGCUUACAUGCAGAACACUUAAAAAAGCUGACGUGUUAAACGCUUGCAAGAUAUCUUAUUUUAGGAAACAAUGAAAGAAAAGAUGGAAAAUGUGGCUACAGAUAUUCUGGUUUGGCACAUUUUGAUAAUAAAUUCUUAUAUGAAAUAUGAAACAGUGUUGUAGGUCAGGUUAGUAUUCGAUAGGCAGUGAAGUGUUGAUUAGGUUUGUGUUCUGUAGACAGUGAGGUGUUGUUGGUCGGGUUUGUGUACUAAACACAGUGAGGUGUUGUUGGUAAGGUUUGUUUACUAAACACAGUAAGGUGUUGUUGGUAGGGUUUGUGUUCUAUAGGCGGUGAGGUGUUAAGUGAUGUGUUGUUGGUAGGGUUUGUGUUCUAUAGGCAGUGAAGUGUUGUUGGUAAGGUUUGUGUUCUGUAGACAGGGAGGUGUUGUUGGUAGGGUUUGUGUUCUGUAGACAGGAAGGUGUUGUUGGUAAGGUUUGUGUUCUGUAGACAGGAAGUGUUGUUGGUAAGGUUUGUGUUCUGUAGACAGGGAGGUGUUAUCGGUAAGGUUUGUGUACUAAACACAGUGAGGUGUUGUUGGUAGGGUUUGUGUUCUAUAGGCGGUGAGGUGUUAAGUGAUGUGUUGUUGGUUGGGUUUGUGUUCUAUAGGCGGUGAGGUGUUAAGUGAUGUGUUGUUGGUAGGGUUUAUGUUCUAUAGGCAGUGAGGUGUUGUCGUUAGGGUUUAUGUUCUAUAGGCGGUGAGGUGUUAAGUGAAGUGUUGUUGGUUGGGUUUGUGUUCUAUAGGUGGUGAGGUGUUAAGUGAUGUGUUGUUGGUAGGGUUUAUGUUCUAUAGGCAGUGAGGUGUUGUUGUUAGGGUUUGUGUUCUAUAGGCGGUGAGGUGUUAAGUGAAGUGUUGUUGGUAGGGUUUGUGUUCUAUAGGCAGUGAAGUGUUGUUGGUUGGGUUUGUGUUCUAUAGGCGGUGAGGUGUUAAGUGAAGUGUUGUUGGUCGGGUUUGUGUUCUAUAGGCAGUGAGGUGUUGUUGUUAGGGUUUGUGUUCUAUAGGCGGUGAGGUGUUAAGUGAAGUGUUGUUGGUAGGGUUUGUGUUCUAUAGGCAGUGAGGUGUUAAGUGAAGUGUUGUUGGUAGGGUUUGUGUUCUAUAGGCAGUGAGGGGUUGUUGGUAGGGUUUGUGUUCUAUAGGCGGUGAGGUGUUAAGUGAAGUGUUGUUGGUAGGGUUUGUGUUCUAUAGGCAGUGAGGUGUUGAGUGAUGUGUUGUUGGUGGGGUUUAUGUUCUAUAGGCAGUGAGGUGUUGUUGGUCGGGUUUGUGUUCUAUAGGCACUGAAGUGUUGUUGGUAGGGUUUGUGUUCUAUAGGCGGUGAGGUGUUAAGUGAUGUGUUGUUGGUGGGGUUUAUGUUCUAUAGGCAGUGAGGGGUUGUUGGUCGGGUUUAUGUUCUAUAGGCAGUGAGGUGUUAAGUGAAGUGUUGUUGGUCAGGUUUAUGUUCUAUAGGCAGUGAGGUGUUAAGUGAAGUGUUGUUGGUCAGGUUUAUGUUCUAUAGGCAGUUAGGUGUAAAGUGAAGUGUUGUUGGUCAGGUUUAUGUUCUAUAGGCAGUUAGGUGGAAAGUGAAGUGUUGUUGGUCAGGUUUAUGUUCUAUAGGCAGUUAGGUGUAAAGUGAAGUGUUGUUGGUCAGGUUUAUGUUCUAUAGGCAGUUAGGUGUAAAGUGAAGUGUUGUUGGUCAGGUUUAUGUUCUAUAGGCAGUUAGGUGUAAAGUGAAGUGUUGUUGGUCAGGUUUAUGUUCUAUAGGCAGUUAGGUGUUAAGUGAAGUGUUGUUGGUAGGGUUUAUGUUCUAUAGGCAGUUAGGUGUUAAGUGAAGUGUUGUUGGUCAGGUUUAUGUUCUAUAGGCAGUUAGGUGUAAAGUGAAGUGUUGUUGGUCAGGUUUAUGUUCUAUAGGCAGUUAGGUGUUAAGUGAAGUGUUGUUGGUAGGGUUUAUGUUCUAUAGGCAGUGAGGUGUUUUAGUCAUUUGAUAUUAUUCAGUAAUAUAAAAUAUAUUUAUACCAUCACUAAAAACUCUUCAUUGAUCUAGUUAAUACAAAAGAUGCUCUUAAUUUGUAAGGACAUUCCUAAAUGGUUGUGGUUUCAAUAAAUUGUCACAACAUCCUGAUUGGUUGUGGUUUCAAUUAAUUGUCACGACAUCCUGAUUGGUUGUGGUUUUCAGUUUUUUGGUAGGACAUUCCUGAUUGGUUGUGGAUCCAGUGAUGGGUUAGUGGAUGUAGGUUUAGAUAUGCUGCUUGAAUGGUGACUUCUUGUUGACACCUCGAAAGUAGUCCAAGGUCAGUUGAGCCAAAGAUUACUUAGGAGACAAAGGUCACCUAGAAGACCAAGGUCACUAAAUACGAUUACUUAAGCCUCGAUUCCGUGUAAAAGUAACUUAAUUUUGCAGAUUCCGUGUAAAAGUAACUUAAUUUUGCCGAUUCCGUGUAGUAUUUCACUAAUGUUGAAAAUAAAAUCCAUGAAGGACAUAAAGAAGCUGUGAGAGAGUAAAUUUUAAGUCUAAAAAUGUUUUGCCAAAAGAUGCAAGAUACUAAACUUCUUGUGAAAAAAAAACCCAUUUAGAGCUACAGCUUGGGUUCAAACAAAGAUGUAUGGAUUUUUAUUGAAUUUUCUGACAUUGAAGCAUGCUCAGAAAAAUCAAAGCGUUAUCAUCCUUGUGAGAAUGAAGCAUACACCAAUGACAGAUUUUUUGUUCCUUAUGAUAAGGAGUCAUGGUCAUUCUCCUCUGUUGCGUAUUAUCGCCAUAUAUUAUACCUCUUUAAUGAAGGUCUUUUUGAAUCAGUUUAGGAUGUAGUCAAUCUAAUUUGAUUUCAAUAAGUGUGCCACAUUUACUUGUUAGAAAAAGUCGUAAAGAAUUUGUGACAAAGAAAAGACGUAUGAAAUCUUGGGUCAUGAUUACAUUUGUGUUUAACCCAAGUAGAGGUCAAGGCCAAGUUGAUGAGCACUUGCUUUGGUCAUUGUAUUUAUUGUCAUGGCAAUGUACCUUUUUGUAAUAUACUUUUUAUCAAAAUUUUAAUAAAAUGUAAAUAAAUUAA